GGUAGGGCAGCUCUGGCAGGCAGGGACUGGUCAGCCGAUUCCCAUCCACCUUCAGCCACAGCAGGUGGAUGAGGCUGCCCAGAGGAGACAGAUCUCGCAGCAGGUUCUCUGACAAAUCCACAUAACAGCCUGAGUAACAUGGCCCAUGAUUCUUUGCUGUCUGAGCACAGAGCAAGUCCUUUCUGCCCAUCAGGGCAUGGGAGCUGAAGCCAGGACCCUCCUAGCCCAAAGAGAUGGGUAGCACAAGAUCCAGAGGCGGAGGAUAUUUCAGCGAGGAGAUGAUAGUGGAGAGAGAGAAGACUAGCUAGCUGUUGCUGGAUGAUGUAGAUGCCAACUGAAGCAGCCACAAAGGGAGGUGGGGAACUGGAAAUCUAUCUGCAAGUACAAACCCUGGGGCAAGGAGAAAUAACAAGGCCCUGGGCUGCACAAGUAAAAGCUACACCAACCUAAAUUACACUGUGAUUUUAAACUGACUUAAUUAAACCAGCACGCACCUCAUUACAACUGAAGUCGUGAUAUAACGAGAAGUUGAGCCUGGUUUAACUCAAAGGGAGUUUUGCAAAAGUUGUCACCAGUUUUUAACCCUACCCGUUUAAUCAGUGCCAUUUACAGGAUUAUAUCUUUUGACUAGAAUGCGGGCUAUGGGGUGGGGCCAGGAAUGAGGGAGGGGGCCUCAGGCAGGGGACUGAGGUGCAGGCUUACUUGCAGUGGCUCCUGGUCAGCAGUGCAGUGGGGUGCUAAGUCAGGAUUCCUGCUUGUCCUUGCACCACAGACCAUGCUGUGCCUCAGAAGUGGCCAGCAGCAGGUUCAGCUCCGAGGCAGUUGUGCAAGCCGCUCUGGGCGCUGUUCUUGCCAGCAGGCCCUGCCCCACCCUCCCAGCUCCCAUUGGCCAGGAACCCUCAAAGGGAGUGGGGAGCUGGUGCUAAGGGCAGGGCUUGGAUCCCCAGAGUACCCCCCACCUAGGACUCUGGGGCACAGCACAGUCACCUGACAGCAAAGUGACCCAGUACUGGGCCACAACCCCUCCCAGGAAAACCACUGGUUUAGACAAAUCCAAGGAGGGAAUGCGGCGAGACUAAGCCACCAGAAGAAUUCAGGGUCCAUCUACUAGUGUCUAUGGGCACAGAUGCCUGGCAACAGGCUGGAGGCCUGUUCUUUGGAACACUGCUGCCUAGCACCCCAGGGAAGGACGUCCUCUGCUGGCUGGCUCAGCGGGAGUGGGACACUCCAGGUUACCCCCCUCUUCAGGUUUCAGCUGGAAAGCCAGGAGGAAGGCUCUCAGGUCCUCCCAAAAGGGCAGUACCCAUAAUGCACAGAAACUUGACCUUUCAUACUUCGGGGCGGAGCCAGCAGCAGCAGCAGGAUGGCUGAUGGAGGGGAGCAGCACGAAUGGGACUUGGGAGACUGGCUGGAGGCAGUGGGUGGAGCGGGCCAUGUGCUCGGAUUACCUGUGUAUACCUCGCUGUAUCACUUCCCUGCCAUGAAAUGCGCUUGGGCCCCAUGCAGGUUGGGCUCUCGGUGCUUGGGGGCCAGAUCCCCGAGGGCAGAGUAGAUCUGGCGGGCCUGAACGCUAUGGCUCUGGCAGGGGGGAGAGAGGCUGACUCUCCCGUCCCGGAUCGGUCUCCCUCCUGCCCGCCCCUUGUGCCCUAGACAAUGAUCAAGUCCCGCCGGCCCCCUGCCGCGCGGCUGGGAGUCCAGACUGCAGCAGCCGCCUAGUCCACAUGGCGCUUUCCCCGUUCGCAAGCGCAGGCGGCAGCAGCAGGAAGUGAGUCACUGGGUACGUGCGGGCAGGCACAGCGCGAGGGGAGGGGACGAGCGGGAGCGCGGGCACAGGAGACCCGAGGGGAGCUCCAGCAGCCCUGCCCCCAGCCAGCUCCACCUGAGCCGCCGCCGCCCAGAGCCACCCACUGCGGGGCUGCCGCACCCUAGCUGCCCCCUCCCCCUGCCUCGGCUAGCGGGUUAGCUCAGCAGCCACUUGCCCCAGAUCUCUGUCCACACCGUUCCCAUUAGCCUCAGCGGGGCAGCCCGGGAGAAGGGAGGAGAGGGAUGUAGAUGGGGCUGGGGUCUUGGGCCUACCGCAGUCAAGCGGGGCGAUGCUCAGGACCGAGCCAGGCUCCCACAGAGACCAGCGAGGCAGCCGAUUGCAACGUGAACAAGCAACGACUCUGGGACCAUCCCUAGAGACACUAGAUAGAAGCUUCCCUCCCACCUCUGCACUCCCAGUCUACAACCUUGCC